GUAUAACUCAGAGGUAGAGUACUUGCUUAGCAUGCGUGAGACCCUGGGUUUGAUUCCCAAUAC
rnacentral:tRNA from 1 species